GGGUUGUGAGGUUAAGCGACUAAGCGUACACGGUGGAUGCCCUGGCAGUCAGAGGCGAUGAAGGACGUGCUAAUCUGCGAUAAGCGUCGGUAAGGUGAUAUGAACCGUUAUAACCGGCGAUUUCCGAAUGGGGAAACCCAGUGUGAUUCGUCACACUAUCAUUAACUGAAUCCAUAGGUUAAUGAGGCGAACCGGGGGAACUGAAACAUCUAAGUACCCCGAGGAAAAGAAAUCAACCGAGAUUCCCCCAGUAGCGGCGAGCGAACGGGGAGCAGCCCAGAGCCUGAAUCAGUGUGUGUGUUAGUGGAAGCGUCUGGAAAGGCGUGCGAUACAGGGUGACAGCCCCGUACACAAAAAUGCACAUAUUGUGAGCUCGAUGAGUAGGGCGGGACACGUGGUAUCCUGUCUGAAUAUGGGGGGACCAUCCUCCAAGGCUAAAUACUCCUGACUGACCGAUAGUGAACCAGUACCGUGAGGGAAAGGCGAAAAGAAC
rnacentral:rRNA from 1 species